CCUUCCCCUUCCACUUCUAAACAAUUCCAUCCUAAAACUACCAGAUUAGACAAAGAAAAGCAAGCCUCUGCACAGGGGUUUGGAGCAAGGUGUUGACCAAAAUUUGGAUGUCAGAACUCAAGCAGGGAGAAGAGAUGGUGUCUCUCGCCCUGUCUCCAGGCUAGAGUGCAGUGGUGCGAUCUCGGCUCACUACAACUCCUACCUCCUGAGUUCAAGCGAUUCUCCUGCCUCAGCCUCCCGAGUAGCCAGGACUACAGUGUCGAGGUCAUGAAAGCCACUGAAAGACUGAGAACUGUUCCAGAAAGGAGACUAGAGAGACAUGGCAGCCAAAUGCUCCACAUAAUCCUGUCCUGGAUUCUUCUCCUACAAAGGAAGGGGUCUGAGGAUUAGGUGGUAGUACUGAAUCAAGGAACUAUCAUCUCCUAUUGUGCUGUAGGCAAACUUGAGUGACAUGGUGGAAGCCACCAGAGAGAAUAUCUGAAGCAAUUCAUUAAAAUCUUGGCAGCCAGACCCCAGCUCCCACUUUCCCUGAAAGCUCCCUUUAAUGAAGCUGAACGCUGUCCCAGCAAUUCCCUCCACAGAAGACCUACUGUCACCACCUCUGGAGGGGCAAUUCCUGGAGGAACCAAGUCAGCCAAUCGAAGGUCCUGAAUAAGCAAAAACUAAGUAAAUAAAUUACCAUCUCGAAAGUGAUGGGUUAGUGUGCUCUUUUGAAUGCCCCG
rnacentral:lncRNA from 1 species